AUUGUAAUGUAGCUGCCAUCUCUAUCCUAGUUGGUGUGGUUGGUUGGUUGGUAACGGUUGUAAGCCCGUAUAGAUACAGAACACAGU
rnacentral:ribozyme from 2 species